UACGUAGGGGGCAAGCGUUGUUCGGAAUUACUGGGCGUAAAGGGCGCGUAGGCGGCACAGCAAGUCGGGAGUGAAAGCCCGGGGCUCAACCCCGGAAUGGCUUUCGAAACUGCUGAGCUAGAGUACAGAAGGGGCAACCGGAAUUCCCAGUGUAGCGGUGAAAUGCGUAGAUAUUGGGAAGAACACCUAUUGCGAAGGCAGCUUACUAGGCUGUAACUGACGCUGAGGCACGAAAGCGUGGGGAUCGAACAGG
rnacentral:rRNA from 1 species